CGCCGCCCACGGGUGGAGGAGGACCCCGGCUACCAAGAUGGCCGCCCUCCUAGCUCCUAGCUGCUGGCGAACCGGCUGCAAGAUGGCGGCCCUCGGAAGCGUCCGGUUGGCCCUCGGAGGCGUCCGGCUUUACAACGCUCGGCCGCUGAAGCGGCGGCUCGGAGGGGUUUACCGGCCGGACCCCCAGAACCCUCGCACGCCGGCCUGGCAGCUGACGGCCGCCUACGAAGCGAAGGUGUACGGGCGCCACGGAUCAGCCUCCGGGGUCGACCCGGCCGGACUCUGGCCCAGCCCGGAGAAGCUCCGGGAGAUGGAGGCCGAGGAGAAGGCCUGGUACCGGCCUCUGAGGGAGAUGCAGGAGCGGCUGGACGCCAAGGAGCAGAGAGCCGAAGCCAAGCGGCGGCAGAGAGAGGAGCACAUUGCUGCCCAAAUGGCCAAGAUGCCAGAGAUGAUUGCAAACUGGUUGCGGGGAAAGGAGGAGCGCAAGGCCAAAGAGCGUGAAGAGAAGGAGCGGCGGGAGAAGCUGCUGGCUGAAGCCCGUGAGCGCUUUGGUUACAACCUGGAUCACCGCAGUGCUGAGUUCCAAGAGAUGAUGCAAGAGAUGGAGAAGGCUAGAAAGAAGGAAGCAAAGCUGCAGAAGAAGCAGCGGAGAGAGGAGGCUCUGGCCAAGAAAGCAAUGCAAAGAGCACCUGAUGCCUCACUCCCAGACAAAGAAGGGGAGGUGGUUGCAGCAGAGGCAUCACAUCAGGUCACAUAGUCUGUUGGGGCUCUGAAAGUGCAGACUCUGUACUGUGCAUUGAGUUAACCUGGUGCAGAGGCCCAGCAAGCACAUUUCUUGCAACCCUUGAUCCUGCCUGAAGGUCAUUUUCCAGCUCUCUGACCACCGAUGAGAGAAUAUUCGUACCUUUGCUGCUAAUGCAUCUGAAUUCCUUGUUGGUGGGUCCUGAGGGUGAUGAUGUCAAACUUUGACUUAUAUCUUUCCAGUGCAGUAAACUACCCUCACUUACCAGCUGGCUGAUGUGUUGUGUGCAGUUACAGACAAAUAAAUGCAGGAGCAAAUCCCACUCGGAACUUUUCGGUCAGACCUCUGCUGAAACCAGGGACAAUUUACAUGAACAGCUGGGAAAGGACUGAUACGACUGCAAACCUCUGUCUGCAGAGAAGCGGAGGGUGUAUUGUCAUGUACAGCUAUAGCAGUAGCAUCAACAGUAUCCUGUAAAAAGAGGCAGUAGGCUGCCCUCUCCACUCCAAACUGUUUAGCUGGAAAAGUCUAUAGGUGGGUCCCUUUUCCACAAUGGACAGCCCAAGAGACGUUUGUAGCAUGGUGAUUGCUUCCCUCUAGUGGGACAAUUGUAGAUUCAGAUCUAUCGGACUUCCAUUUUCGAAACAGCCUCCAUUGGGAGGUGAUCCCAAAUGAAUGAACAGAAAGCAGGGGAAAUGAAAGUGAUACAGGCCUUUUUAAACUACAGCCCUAGCAUGCUUAGCUAGAGUAAGUCUUAAAGAACUUGUAGGAAAUUCUUAAUAGACAUUCAGAAGAGGUUCUAAUUUUUAAAAAGUUCAUUCCUUCCUAAAAGUCUUUCAGAACUUUAUUGGGCAGCUAGAAUUGAAAGGGGGGGACAGGUACACAUAAGAUCAUCUAAAAGUACAUGGAGGGAUACAUACAUAUGUUCAGCUCUGUCUCAGUUUCUCCCAUGACAAAUUUGAGCUCCCAUGACAAAUUUGAGAGUGAUCACCACGUGGUCAUCUAUAUACAGUUGUGAACUAACCUCCAGCUUUUUCUUCUUUACAUCGACCAGUUAAACCGCUCCUCCUUUUGGGGGCUGAUAAAACAAAUACCUUACACUUUAACCCUGGAUUUUUGUUAAAUUAAAGCAAAACACCUUAUAUAAAUUAUUUUUUUAUUUUACAUACAUUUGUCAUAAUUAUUUAAUCACCCAGUGCUGGCACCAAAAUUUCUACAUAAAGUUUUAAAGUCCAAACUAGGUUAAUAAUUAUUUUUUUAAUAAAAAAAAUCUCCCACUCUUCCCCAUCCAGUUAGUAGUAGUGACAGGAUUUUGUAUGUGUGCGGUUCUUUUUUUUUUUGGUUAGCAUUUUGCUUCGGUCGACUCCCAUGGGUUGUCUACUUUUUGCAUAUUUUCAUUUUUUUUAACAUCAGCUCUCAAAGCAACACCCCCCCCCCCAACUGAGUGCCCAAGUCAUAGGCCCACCAGUGUUAACUUAUCUACACACGAUCAUGCAAGAUGUGGGAAGUUUCUUAACUGCAAUGUGUAUGCAAUUAAUGGAAAGCAGGAGGGCGAUGCAAAAAUUCUUGUAAGGAAAGAGGGAUGACAAGAGAUGAAACAGUUGCAAACCUUGCAGGGCUUUCUCAAGCACAGGUCCGACCUGUGCUCCUGUGAGUAUGGGACAGAGUUGGUCACGGAUCACAAGGGGAAUUUGGGGAAAGUGCCACGUUCUGGACUAA